rnacentral:lncRNA from 1 species
UUAUUAUAUAUGUUAUUCUUAGUAUUAUAAGAUUAAUAAUAACUAAUAACUGGAUACUCAAUAGGCAAAGAAAAGGAGAGUCGACCGUCAGCAGCCAUCUUAGCACUCUUACACUUUCAACGUUCAACGCCUACACUCACUUACAUCUUGCUCCGUGAUCUUACCCUUCUCAUUAAUAACAAAUGUUAUACAAUAAAGUCAGUGUUCUUUGAGAAGCCAUGUUGCAUCAGAACCAACAAUAAACUAGAAUAAUUUUAUUACAAUAAUCUUUGCUACUAUUUAUUUUGAGAAAAUACAAAUAUAAUAUACACAUGAUAUUUAA